GGUCGAAAUUGCUCUCUCUAUUUCUCUCACUCUCUCGCGUCAAACUCUCCACUAAUUAAACUACAAAGUACAACCCCUCCAAAACCCUCCACUAAGAAAACCCUCUCAAAUUCUCAAUCUCCGCUACCCCAUAAACUACACCAUCCUCCUCCCUUUCGCUUCGAUUUCGGUUUCAUUCCGCUACCGUUCAGGUACCUCCAUCGUAAGAUUUCUCAAAUUCUAGGGUUUCUUAUGGUUUCUUUCAAAACCUAGGAAUUUUUGUGUCGGCGUGUGCGAGAGAGAUAAGAGAGUUGGGGUGGUCUCAGAGCAUCUGAUUUCAAUGGAACCGUCGGCCGGAGUCGCGGCCUCAACCGCCACUCGUGGUGGCUCUCUCUCGAUGCAGCCACCAUCGUCGUCAACGUCUUCGUCCCGGAAAGAGUGGCGAGCAGUUUCGGAGCAUCGAAAAGCUGGGGACGAGGAGCUGGAACGAUUGAAGUUAGGGCAAACGGAUGAGAGAACUAUAUAUGAGAUGAUUUGGUGUUCUAUCAAGGUGCAGCAGGGACGAGAACCACUUGAUGUCGACUUUUGUUCAAUCACAGUGGACGAUAGCUUAGAUGAUGACCUUUUGCUGCAGAGACUUCAUAAUGUUGCUAGACAAAGAGAGGAAUUGCAACAGACGGAGAUUGGCUUCAGAGCCCAAAUAAUUGCGAGAUCUGAGAUAAUGGGAAUGCAAAGCAACUUUGAUGCACAGAUCAAGGAACAUGCUAAUGCUGCUAUGAAGCUUCAGGAGCAAUUGCAUGAAAGGGAUCAGGCCAUGCAUGAGUUGGAAAGGAAGAUGGAAGAGAAAGAUAGGGAGCUUCAUGCAAUUAAAUUGGACAAUGAAGUGGCAUGGGCUAAAGAGGAUCUCCUCAGAGAAAAAGACAAGGAGCUAUCAUCCUUAAGAAGAGAGCGUGAUCAUUUUGAGGCUGAAAGAGCCCAACAUAUAAAACAGAUACAUGACCUUCAAGAACAUAUUCAAGAAAAAGACAGGCAGCUUAUUGAGUUGCAGGACCAGCAUAGGGUUACUCAAGAAAAUAUUAUUUAUAAAGAUGAACAAUUGAGGGAAGCCCAAGCGUGGAUUGCUCGUGUUCAGGAGAUGGAUGUCUUGCAAUCAAAUACAAACCAUUCGUUACAAGCUGAACUGCGAGAACGUACUGAACAAUACAACCAGCUGUGGCUCGGUUGUCAAAGACAGUUUGCAGAGAUGGAAAGACACCAUCUGCAUACAAUGCAACAGCUCCAACUUGAGCUGGCUGAUGCACGAGAAAGGAGUGGGACAUACAAUGAUGAGCCAGGUUUAUCACAAACAAAGUCAAAGGAUGUGUCUCAGUUUGACCAGAGCAAUGGAAUUCAACUAGAUGCAAAUGGAGGUGGCACAUUGAGUGGAAAUUCUGCGGUCCUUCCAAAUGGGAAUUCAGGCAAUGUUUCAUCCUUUGCUUCAACUGGCAAUUCAUCUGCUCAGACCGACCGUGUUCCUGGUGUUCCACUAGCUCCAUCUUCUCUGCUUGGAAUGCCUACCUAUCUUCCACCUGGACAAGUGGCUGCAUUACAUCCAUAUGCUGUGCAUCAACACGGGCCUCCUCAAUCUUUGACUUCACAUAUUCCUCCAUCUCAUAUUGGACACUCACACUCAAUACCAGCAAUGGGUUCCCUUCAACAAUGGGUUGAAGGGCAGAACCCACAGGCUGUAUCGGAGGGUUUACAGAUAUCUGCACAUAGUGAACUUCCACCAUCCCAAACUGAUCAAAAUCUAAUGAGGUCAGAUGCGAACUACAACUAUGAAAUGUCUGUUAAUGGGCAACCUCUUCAUCAAGACUAUCUGGAAGUUCACAUCAGCCAAGUGGCACGACCUGAUUCUGGAAUCUCAUCAUCUUCUGGUGAAGCAAAGACUCUUGAAUCAAUUGAUGGAGGAUUCCUCAUUGCCACCCAACCUGAGCAGAGCCUGCAACAAAUUUCUUCCCAAUUCCAUGAUGUCUUAAAAUUGGAUAAUUUAGACCGAAACAGUGAAAACAAGGAGCAGAAUGCUACGGGUUUGACUAAUGGGCUGGAGGGCCAACUUUCAACAGCUGAAGAACCAAGUUCUGUUGCCAAUCCAUUGGCAUCUGAUGCGUCAAUCCAUUCUGUUAAUCUCAGUGAAACUGCAGUCAACAAUGUCGCCAGUGCAGCUUUGCCUGAAUCAAUUGUCUCAAUUGAUCAGGCAAAUACACCAACAGGGGGGAAGGCUUCAGAGCCUACUCUUCUUGAUGAAAGAUCACUGUUGGCUUGCGUAGUUCGCACAAUUCCUGCUGGUGGUCGAAUUCGGAUUAGUUCAACGCUACCAAAUAGGCUGGGCAAGAUGCUUGCACCUUUACACUGGCAUGAUUAUAAGAAAAAAUAUGGAAAGCUUGAUGACUUUGUGAUCAGUCACCCUGAGCUGUUUGUGAUUGAAGGCGAUUACAUUCAGCUUCGAGAAGGAGCACAAGAAAUGAUAGCAGCUGAAGCAGCUGUUGCCAAAGUUGCUGCGGCAGCUGCAGCAUCAUCUCCUUACUCCUCAUUUUUGCCUUCAAUGGCUGUCACUCCAGUGGCACAAUCUCAUCGAUUGAGAAAGGUUCCAUCCAUUGAGUCCAAAAAUUUAAGAACUGACAGGACAGCUUUCAAGGAAUAUGCGAUUGUCUCUUCAAAUUCAAGUGAUGAGCCAUCACAGCUCUCUGUGAUGCAAAAUCAACAACCGAAUGGUGUUGGUUUUGGUCUUUCUAGAGGUCCUUCAAAUAUAAAAAUUUUGAGCAAACCUAAAGAUCCCCAGGAAAUGAAUGGCCCUGAGAAUAAGGCUGUGCAGUCUCCAUUUGUGAUGGUUGGGAAUGGAUCAAAUCUUAAUAGAACAAGUUUGAAUGGUGCCCAAAGCACAGGUCCAGCUAAUGGGAGAGCUAACGUGAAUUUUGUUGGAAAACAGCAGGGAAGAAUGACUGGUGCUGUAUUUUCAUCCAGAAGAUAGUACGGACACAUCGUAUUUUUGGGUAAAAAAUCAAGUUGAAUAAUUAAUAAUUAUGGGAUGAGCAUCUUUGAGGUUCAUGCGCCUUGUCGCGGGUAUCUGAAGGAGACAUGGGAUCAAGUUGAUAAUCUCAUGACCAGGAAUAUGCACAGGACUGCAGAUGGGGAUGUUUGAGGAUGCAUACAGGAUUUGCACAAGAAUGUAUUAUCGCUGAUUGAAUUGUCAGCGUUCAUUUCUUAUAGAGGCUCUGAUUGGAAUUAUUAUCGUUUCUUUGGUUGGGCUUUGAUUUAUUUCUUUUCUUUGUUGGAAUUACAAUUUACUUUUGAGGGUAUUUUCUCUCGAAAAACUCAACUCUACCCUUGGCAAAUGAUAUUCAUGCAUGCCAUUGCAUCUCUUAA